AUACGUAGGGGGCGAGCGUUGUCCGGAAUGAUUGGGCGUAAAGGGCGCGUAGGCGGCCCGGUAAGUCUGGAGUGAAAGUCCUGUUUUCAAGAUGGGAAUUGCUUUGGAUACUGGGGGGCUUGAGUGCAGGAGAGGUUAUCGGAAUUCCCGGUGUAGCGGUGAAAUGCGUAGUGAUCGGGAGGAACACCAGUGGCGAAGGCGGGUAACUGGACUGCAACUGACGCUGAGGCGCGAAAGUGUGGGGAGCAAACAGGAUUAGAUACCCUGGUAGUCCACACUGUAAACGAUGAAUGCUAGGUGUAAGAGGUAUCGACCCCUUUUGUGCCGGAGUCAACACAAUAAGCAUUCCGCCUGGGGAGUACGGCCGCAAGGUUGAAACUCAAAUGAAUUGACGGGG
rnacentral:rRNA from 1 species